GAUCCUGGCUCAGGAUGAACGCUGGCGGCGUGCUUCACUCAUGCAAGUCGAACGGACGAUGAAAAGCUUGCUUUUCAGAGUUAGUGGCGGACGGGUGAGUAACGCGUGGGUAACCUGCCUCAUACAGGGGGAUAGCAGCUGGAAACGGCUGAUAAAACCGCAUAAGCGCACAGCAUCGCAUGAUGCAGUGUGAAAAACUCCGGUGGUAUGAGAUGGACCCGCGUCUGAUUAGCUGGUUGGUGAGGUAACGGCCCACCAAGGCGACGAUCAGUAGCCGGCCUGAGAGGGUGACCGGCCACAUUGGGACUGAGACACGGCCCAAACUCCUACGGGAGGCAGCAGUGGGGAAUAUCGCACAAUGGGGGAAACCCUGAUGCAGCGACGCCGCGUG
rnacentral:rRNA from 1 species